UAUUCGGGACGACCUGGAUAUACUUCGGUUUUUCGGGGACGACCCUA
rnacentral:ncRNA from 1 species